GGGAACGAGACCCAGCACACAGAUAAACCACAAAGCCCCCGUGAGCCGCCCCGGGCGGGGGGCAGGUGGCCCCCGCCGGCCCCGCAGCCCUCCCGCACCGCAGCCAUUUGCCUUUGUUGCAGCCCCGCGCCCGCAAGGUGCGGCGGGGCCGGGGUGGAGGAUGGAGCUCGCCCCCCGGUCGCUCUCCCCUCACAGCGCGGCGGUGGGGACACGUCCUGCGAGAGCGGCUGCCGAGAGGGACCUGCCCGCCCGCCGCCCGCACCCACCUACCUGCGGAGCCCGCCCGGGACGCGUCGCCCGCCGCCUUUGUUGUGCAUGCCCGCCCCGGCAGCGCCGAGCCGCGGGUCGGCUCCGGCCCGGCCCCUCCGCGCCCAGGCCCCGCUUAGCCCGUCGCCACGGCAACGGCGGGCGCGGCUCGGGAGAGGGACCGGCCCGGGCCCCGCCCCGUGAGGGGGCUGAGGGGACCGAGCGGGGGUCCCCGGGUGUCGGCGCCGGGCAGUGCUGAGGGGACAGGGCUGGGGUCCCCGCGGUGCCGGGAGGCGGUGCCGGGAGGAGGCGGCCCCGCAGGCUCGGCUUUAGGGCGCUCGGCUCUGGGCGCCCGCCCUUCUCCCCAGCCCUGCGCCCCUCCUUCCCCAGCGUGCCGGGCAGUGCCGAGCCGGGCUUGGGUGAGCCCCCGGCUUCUUCUUACAGUGCUUGGGAUCCCUCAUUUUCCAUGUCCAGUAGCUUUCCUUUAGAUUGGCCACCUCGGGAGUCCCUAUCUCCGGCCACAGAUAGCGCGUUCUUUUGUCCUACAGCGCGCACGGCUCUGGUGACUUUCCUGACUAUCUUCCUGCAUCAGCCUCCACAGGCUCUUACACGUGACGGGCAGUCUCGCAGGAAACAGGGGAGCUGCUCUGAGAAUAAAGCCAAGGCAGUGGGCCUGUCAAACUCCAAUUUCAGUUUAGUAGAAUGGGAUUUCAGUGGCACUGGUCUCACAGCAUCCUCUACUGAAGGCUCUUAAAUUACAAAUGCAACAGUAAGCCUCAUCUGAGAGAAGACAGAAACAAUAUGUGCUCAAGGUCACAGAGGAGUUCUCCAGCACAACUGGGAAAAAUUGCCAGAGCUGCGGUGUCCUGACCUUGGUCCUCACCUGCCAGACUUUGUCAUUCUGUCCCAAGACAGCACCUGGAGUAAACCCAGCCCUACCUUCAGGGAGAGCAGGCAAGAGGGGAUGGGAGACACCUGUCCUUCAGUUCCCCUUGGUCAAUCUGGACCCUUAUAUCACUCAUGUAGUAAACAAUCUAUUAAAGGGUUCUUCACUGUACACAAGGAUGCCUAGAGGAUGACCUGCUGCUAUUGUGCUGUAAAGAAGGAUGAUAAGGAGAACUUGGAGGCCUGUUUUGCAAUGGUCUUUGCAGCUCCCCCUGCAAAGGGCUGCCUCCUUUUAUGAUGAAGGAUAAUUUAUAAAUAGCCCUGAUUCCGCUACUUGGAGAAAGCUUUUGUUCCUCCCUGUACUCGAUAUACGUGAUACUCUGCAGUGGAGAGCAGAUGUUUGUACCGGAUUCUGCUCGCAUGGAACUCGGCCGUAGAAGGCUCAGAGGCAAGGGGUGAAAUAGCAUCAGGGUUAUCUCCUGUCCUCAGCUCAGAGCUCCUAUUACAGCCAGUCUGAAAGGCCAGGAGACGCCCUUGGACUCAGCAGCACAGUCCUGAGCGCAUGCCUGUGUCUCUGCUGGAGAUGAGCAUCCUGUUGUUUGCAGAGUCCAGUUACAGCUACAGCUGAAAAAAAACCCUGUCUGCAUAAACAGGAAUUUUCCUCAAUUUCAGGAGCCAGCAGAGGAUACCGCCUUGUCUCUCUCUCUGAAAGGGCUGAGUAAUUCUUCGUUUGUUUUGUUCCUUUGCUGCCUUCUUCCAGCUCCAUGACUUUGGUGGCACCUUUGGCAGAAGAAGAGUCACUGUCCCUUCCAUUUUAUCCAUAUCCACCAGAGGAUUUUGUUUUCCAGAUUGUCUGCUGCUGCUGAAGCUGUAGCAAUAACACUCCUGUAUAGCUUUACUUAAGGGAGGGAAGAAACAAACCCACAUGACAAAUUGGUCCAAUUUAUCACAGCAACAGAAACCUGCAAUUCAGCUGAAUCGCCCCCACAGGCCAGCUGAGACAGCCAUCAGUAUUUACGGACCUGAGCAACACUGCCUGAGCAGCUCCAGCUCCACCUCUGCCCCUUCCCUCAUCACAGGUGCCCCCAGGUGUGUCACUCCACUGGUGUGGAGGGCACUCCCACACUUCCCCUGGGUGACCAGGGUCUGUCUUCAGCCUACUGGGGAAGGCCUGCUCACUACCCACAGGGGCACAGCCCAGACCUGCUGGGCACAACCGAACUCUGCCCCUUUUUCCUACUUGGCUUGACCACCUGUGCUGCAUGUUUAUGUCCAAGUAACAGCUCCAAAUUUUCUGGGCAUGCCUGUGGCACACAGGGAAGUGGGAGCAGGACUGGUCCCAUCUCAGUUCACAGUCUCUCCUACAGUCUUUUUUUUUUUUUUUGGGUGACUGUAUAACCCAGAGAGGAUUGUUCACCUCAUAGCAAGCUGGAGAUGGCUUCUGUUCAGCUGUCUAUACCUGUUCCUGUUAUUCAGGCAGGAGUAUUUUAUUCCAGAAAGAGCUGCAGUGAAAUAAAAUGCUAGCAAUAUGUCCUGCCUAUGGUGCAUGUGGUGCAGGACUUGAAAAGAGCAUGAAUCAAGCUAUGCCUAAUUCCUCCCAGCAAGGGAGCCUGGAGAUCUCUUUUGCUGGGCUCAGGCUCCAAGCUGGCCACAGCAACUGGCAUUUGAGAACAUCUCCCAGCUCUGCCUCAGCAUGUAGUGGCUCUGUCCUGGCUUGUUCUGCCUGGAACAGUAACAGGAACAAGUGACAGGUUAUACAGUUACAUAUGGCCAUAGGCACGUUCCCUCAUGGCUCUUGUGACUCUGUUUCCCUGGUCUGUAAAAUGAAGGUGACUGCAAUAUCCUGGUGGCAAGCACAAAGUAAAACAAGGCAUUUUUGUCAGGGCCGUGGUGGGGCAGAGGAGUUUGGACUGCUGGAUCAGCAACUUUAUUUCCUUCAGCAAGAUAGCACCUUCUACUAGGCUCUCUGUUCACUUAAAACCCCUCAUUAUCUAGCAAACUGCACAUUCUAAAAUGGGACUUCAUUAUCCACUCCAAUGGCAGUGAGUGGCAGAGGCCAUUACAAUAAAUGUCUUUUUGGUAA